rnacentral:tmRNA from 1 species
GGGGGCGAAUGGGCUCGACGGGGUGGGAAGAAGCAGGGCUGCGAGCCGAGGUCCCAGGGUCCUCGUCAAAAACCUGGGCGACGCAAUACGCGUCAACCAGCCUGCUCUCGCCGCGGCCUAAUCCCCGCGGCCGUCCCCCCGGCAGGGCCGACGGGCCGGGACGGAGCGCCAUGAGUCGGCUGCGCUGUGCCGCCUUGCCCCGGGUGGUGCGGCUAAGACCAGCGGGGCUGGUGUUCGGAGGAUCCCGCCUGCGGGAGCUUCCGAGCACGAGAGGAAAACGCAGGCUACGCUCGUAGACGCUCUGCCCUCGCUCACCUCGGACGCGGGUUCGAUUCCCGCCGCCUCCACCA